GAGCAGAAAAUGAUCAAUUGGUGUUUGAGGUUAUGGGUUUGGGGUACGGUGUUUUGUUUGGGUUUUUGUUUGGUUCUUUGGGGUUUUUUUGUUUGUUUUUCUCUUUUUGAGAGAUCGUGAGAAAGGGAGAAGAAUUGGGGGGGAAAAAAGGGAUUUGAAUGCAAUUUGCGGUGAAUAAUUGCAGCAUGAUCCAACGCACACAUGGUUCUACAUGUGAAUCCCUACCCCAUGUAUGCGUUCUAACAAGUUCUGGGUGUGAAUGCCUUCCCCAUGUAUGUGUCCUGAUGUGGCACAAAAUGUUAUCCUUUCAUGCAUUUCUAACAAAUAUUCAAAACUUGAUCAUAAGUUUGUUAGAACUGGGAAAAUCCUCUGCCCUCCCACCCCUCAAGGGUGUUGUCUACCCACAUGAGGCUGUGCUGUCAGUUUUAAUUUAUGGUCAUUUCUUAUUGACUCCAAACAAGGCAGUUUAUUACCACAAAAUGUGUCUACAUUCUGUUUCCAAGUGAACAUUUUCUGCACCCAGCACUGCUGUGUCUCAUCAGCUCUUCCAUACCAGCAAAAUCUUGAAGGGAGUAGAAAAUGAGAACGUUGUACUACUCUCCUCAUAAAGGGAAAUCCAGGAGUGAGUGAAAACUUUAUAAGGAUCACAUUUCCCAAGCAAUCUCACUUUCCUGGAGAGGUUGUCCACAUGUUCACAGUGCUGCUACCAAUGAACAGGGAUGGGCUGUUCUCUCCUCCCUCCAUCAGGCUUCUGUUCAACUACUGCUGUCUUUUCAUCAUAGUUACUUUUUACCUCUGUUUUUAUCUUAGUUACUCAUUGGCAAAGAUUGGGCUUCAUAAGUUUGCAAAGUGAAAGAAUUUUACAAGGUUAAAAAAAAAAAAAUGAGAUGCCUGAAAAUACCGCAAAAUUCAUCCCUCUUGACUCUGCUUUUUAUUUAAUGCCUAGAUGAAAAUAUUACCUCCUGAGUCUCUGUGUGUGUGGCUGAGUCCCCGGGACACCUGCCAAGACACGAAUUUUAGAUGCCCGAAAUCAUGUGCUCAGCAGGUGUAAAUUGUGUGCAGGGAGAGUUCACCUUUUGUCCUGAACCCCAGAGGCAGUUUCUCUUCAUUAGCAAGGGAAGAUGGGGAAGGAGAUUAUCCUCGUUUCCUGACUGCGUGCCAAAGUUAUGUAUCAUAAGGAGAAAAUCUGUUCCUGCGUUCACAAAUAUGUUUGCUCCUAAUCUGUCUUCAGGGAAGUGUCUUUGUGAGGAGCGAGGGGUGCUGAUGAUGGCAGGAGAGCUGAGGCGGAGGGACAGGAACAGACGCAGAAUUUCUCUGCCGGGAUUUUUUUCCAGUGGGAUCCACGGUGGAUAUUUUUAAAUGCCCGGCUUAUUCCGUGACCUGUUAAAAUCGAGUUGAUGUGCGUGUGCUCCACUCAGCGGAGAACUCGCCGGAGAUGGAGCAAUUCCUGUGCACUCUGGGAGAAGAGACAAGAGCACGCUCUGGAAGCCUUUAUGAGGAGGCUUUUAGAAGCCAUUUUGAAAAGCCACUUGUUAUCCUUCUGUGUUUUGGAAGUCUGGACUGGGCCUCCCAGGUGAUAUUAGGAAAUUGGAACAGUACCUGUAGUGCCAGAUUGCUGUUGCCUGAAGAAGAAAACACCUGCUUCCUCCUUUUCCAGAGGUGGUUGGUGGUCGGUGCUCCUCCUGCCUGGGCCGUGUCCUCAAGCACAACCAUCCUUUUUAUACGUAAAUCUUGAUGUUCCCUUGACGUGAAACACUUGGUGCUGCUGCUCCUUGAACACUCCCCCUGACUUAUUCAAGGAAUAACAUUUGUUUAUCCCUGAGAAGAUACAAACAGAAUGCUUAGGGG